UACGUAGGGUGCGAGCGUUGUCCGGAAUUAUUGGGCGUAAAGAGCUUGUAGGCGGUUUGUCGCGUCUGCUGUGAAAUUUCGGGGCUCAACCCCGAACUUGCAGUGGGUACGGGCAGACUAGAGUGUGGUAGGGGAGACUGGAAUUCCUGGUGUAGCGGUGAAAUGCGCAGAUAUCAGGAGGAACACCGAUGGCGAAGGCAGGUCUCUGGGCCACUACUGACGCUGAGGAGCGAAAGCAUGGGGAGCGAACAGG
rnacentral:rRNA from 1 species